AAGCGGUGAGCCUAGCGAACGUUUGCUAUCUGGCUGCCGUCCAUUCACUGACUUUCUGUGCUUGGGAUAUCGUUAGCUGUCUUCAUAAGCUACCUAAUUCCUCUUGUAUGUGGGACUGGGAGAGACAAGAACGCAUCAGGCAUUUGGACCAGACAAAAGAGCAGGCUCUAAAGUUGGAACCUCCCCACUGUCAUCAGCAGGUAAUAAUGACUCAUGAUCCUUUGCUUCACAAUGUUUUUCUUUAAACACUGGUUGCUUUCAGACGUCAUUUUUGUUUAAAGGGAUACUUGGGUAUUUUGAGAUUCAUGGUUAGAUGAGACUGGUGUUCUUCUAGAGUCCAACAUAGGGUUGCCACCCAUCCCGUAUAUUACGUGAACGUCCCGUUUUGGAAAAUAAAAUGCACUGUGCCUUCCAGAAUCAAUACAGGACACGAUUUGUCCCGUAUUUUCCAUGCACACCCUGCUCUACGUUUUCACACGCUUGGAUUGACACGAGAAAUAAAAAGAAUAACAAAAGAGCUUCAUGAGACAUAGCGGAGAAGUGUUAAAUCAGAAUGACAGAAGAAUUGCCUGUCACUCAACGUCAUUGUUGCCCUGGUUGCGGAGACUCGGUCGCAUGGUAACAUUAGCAGUGCCGUUCUCCCAGAUAUGCGCACGCACGCACGCACACACGCACACACGCACAGAAGAGGUGGAAGGGUGCUUAUGGAACUGACGUGUGUGUGAGUGUGAGUGAGAGUGAGUGAGUGAGUGAAAAAUUUAACCAAUAUCCCACUUGGUGGAAAGUCAAGUCACUUUUAUUUAUAUAGCAUUUAAAAACACGAGUUAACCCAAAGUUCAUUACAGUCGAGGCAGAUGGAUUAACCAAUCAAUCAAUCAAUCAAAUGUAUUUAUAAAGCCCUUUUUACAUCAGCAGAUGUCACAAAGUGCUUUUCCAAAACACCCCAAGGAGCAAACAACCGUAGUGUUGAAUUUCAGUGGCUAGGAAAAAGGGAAACCCACCAACCGCAACCACCCUGAAUGAGGACUGAGUAUUGCCAGCAGAGUACAGCCCAAUUGCACAAGUGCGCAACAGAGAGACAACAACAAGCCAGUGACUCCUCCCCCGAGAGGCAUUGGAGGGAGGGCAUCCCAGUGGCGACGAGAGCCCACCUGGCAAGACAGCAAGGGUGGACAGUAUCAAGCUUUUCUGGUCACCUUCACGCCCCUGGGCCAGACUACACCUAAUUAUAAACAGUGCUGUAGAGAUGAGUCUUUAGUAGACACUUGAACGUUUGCACUGAGUUUGCAUUUCUAACCUUAAUUGGCAAAUCAUUUCCCAGUAGUGGAGCUCUAUGAGAAAAGGCCCUGCCUCCGGCUGUUUGUUUAGAGAUUCUUGGUACAAUUAAAAGGCCUGCAUCUUGCGAUCGUAGGUCACGUGUAGGUAUGUAUGGCUGGAUCAUUUCAGCGAGGUAAGUAGGAGCAAGUCCAUGUAUUGAUUCAUAGGUAAACAAUAAAACCUUAAAAUCAGCCCUAACCCUAACAGGCAGCCAGUGUAAAGAGGAGUAAUGUGUUCAAAUGUUUUUGUUCUAGUUAGGAUUCUAGCAGCCGUGUGCAGCUCUAAUUGAAGUUUAUUUAUUGAUUUGUCAGGGUAAUCGGAAAGUAGAGCAUUGCAGUAAUCUAGUCUAGAAGUAACAAAAGCAUGGAUUAGUUUUUUUGCAUCAGUUUUUGAUAAAAAGUUUCGGAUUUUUGCAAUGUUUCGAAGAUGAAAAUAAGCAACUCUUGAGACAUAUUUUAUAUGUUCAUCAAAAGAGAGCUCAGGGUCAAGGUUGACGUUGAGGUUUCUUAUUUAGGAUACGACCAUGCAGCUGUCGAGGUUCACAGUGAGAUCUGCUAACAAAGCUCUUUGUUUCUUGGGUCCUAAAAUGAGCAUUUCUGUUUUUCUUGAGUUUAAAAGCAAGGAAUUGUUGGAAACGUGUCGGACAGGCUUUUGAUUUCCAUGGGUGGGCACGUUCAUCCUACUUAUCAACAUUGAAUAGUAACUUAAGCACGACGGAUGGAAAGCUAAUAAUCUUUUCAUGCAUGGCUUGCUGAGGCUAUAUCCCUAGCAAAAUACACAGCUGUCAAUCACAUUUGAAAGCUUUAAGAACUAGAGUAGUUACACGUUGUUUGUUGCUUAAUGAUCACAUCACUUAAAACACAUCUUCGAUCGCAUUUGCAGAUGAAGGCAGGAGAGCUAGCCUACAUUCCCAACAUUAAUUAGUGAAGUACGGUAUUGGGAAGCGUCUUACCCAACUAUUUUGGGGGGGCAAAGUAUUCUUGCUGGGUGGGAAUGCUCCCUGUGC
ensembl:lncRNA